GGAAUAUCUGUUAAUUUCUAGUGAGGGAGAUGUGGUCUGUUCCUUAAAAGGGCAUGUGUUGCUAGGUUUCAGGAUGAAUUUCUGCUUUCAGAAUCCAUGUGGAAUCUAACACUAUAAAACAAUGCCAAGAACAAAGGAAGGAAAAGGAAAAACUAAAGGGACACCCCUACCCAUUGUUCCUAUUCUUCAGAAGUUCCUAAAAACCUAUGAGAAGCAUUGUGCACAGUCUCAGACAUCUGUGUGUCCAAUCAUCAGAAGGGACCUGAAAGCCAGUAUCGACAGUGAACAGAUUCUCAGGAAGUUUAUACUUGUAAGACCUGAUGAUUCCACACCAAGCAUCCUACCGGUUUCUUUGGAACCUCUGCUCAUGACAAUUCGAGAUGAGCGUUACACACUGGGGAAAGAGCUUUGCAUCUGGGGUCUUCAACUGAACAACCCAGAGGUUGCCAGGCUCGCUCUGCUUCUGGAAUUGAAAGGACGUACCAGCUACCCAUUUACCACUCUAGAAAUCGUUGAUUGCAAAAUGGAUCUGUGGUCUCUAGGGCGACUUGGAAAGGCCCUGCCGUUCAGUCAUUUGCACUCUCUUGUCCUCGAUUACUGCAAAUUUGAGGAGGAGGACAUGGAGCGGGUUCUCUCAGGCCUGGAGAAGAGCCAGAGGCUUCAGGGCCUCAGCCUGCGUUACUGCGGGCUGGGGCCGCCCAGCGGGCCGGGGCUGGGCUCGCUGCUCGGCCAGGGCGCCCUUCGGGAGCUGCAUCUUGAUGGCAAUUAUUUGCAAUGCUCCGGGGCCCUGGCUCUCCUCGGACCCAUAGCAGAGCACGCGGAGAUGCAGGGCAAAGAGCAGCCAGCCACGUCGUCACCAGCCACCAGAAACCCCCCUCAGCCACUCCCAGCCGGACAGAGAGGAAGUUCAAUUUUGAAUCAGAUUACAAAAUCAUCUGGAGCUGUAACAGUGAAAAGUAUAUCAGGGAAGAAAGAGAGAGAACAAGGAAUCAAGAAAAAAAGUAAAGGUUUGCCUGAAGCUGGUCCUUGGUUAGUGAAAUUGCAUUUGGCUGAUAAUGGCAUAGAUGGAAAAGGAAAAGGAGGAGAAAAGGACAUACUGGAAUUCAUUCAAAUUUU
rnacentral:lncRNA from 1 species